GGUUAAGCGACUAAGCGUACACGGUGGAUGCCCUGGCAGUCAGAGGCGAUGAAGGACGUGCUAAUCUGCGAUAAGCGUCGGUAAGGUGAUAUGAACCGUUAUAACCGGCGAUUUCCGAAUGGGGAAACCCAGUGUGUUUCGACACACUAUCAUUAACUGAAUCCAUAGGUUAAUGAGGCGAACCGGGGGAACUGAAACAUCUAAGUACCCCGAGGAAAAGAAAUCAACCGAGAUUCCCCCAGUAGCGGCGAGCGAACGGGGAGCAGCCCAGAGCCUGAAUCAGUGUGUGUGUUAGUGGAAGCGUCUGGAAAGGCGCGCGAUACAGGGUGACAGCCCCGUACACAAAAAUGCACAUGCUGUGAGCUCGAUGAGUAGGGCGGGACACGUGGUAUCCUGUCUGAAUAUGGGGGGACCAUCCUCCAAGGCUAAAUACUCCUGACUGACCGAUAGUGAACCAGUACCGUGAGGGAAAGGCGAAAAGAACCCCGGCGAGGGGAGUGAAAAAGAACCUGAAACCGUGUACGUACAAGCAGUGGGAGCCUCUUUAUGGGGUGACUGCGUACCUUUUGUAUAAUGGGUCAGCGACUUAUAUUCUGUAGCAAGGUUAACCGAAUAGGGGAGCCGAAGGGAAACCGAGUCUUAACUGGGCGUUAAGUUGCAGGGUAUAGACCCGAAACCCGGUGAUCUAGCCAUGGGCAGGUUGAAGGUUGGGUAACACUAACUGGAGGACCGAACCGACUAAUGUUGAAAAAUUAGCGGAUGACUUGUGGCUGGGGGUGAAAGGCCAAUCAAACCGGGAGAUAGCUGGUUCUCCCCGAAAGCUAUUUAGGUAGCGCCUCGUGAAUUCAUCUCCGGGGGUAGAGCACUGUUUCGGCAAGGGGGUCAUCCCGACUUACCAACCCGAUGCAAACUGCGAAUACCGGAGAAUGUUAUCACGGGAGACACACGGCGGGUGCUAACGUCCGUCGUGAAGAGGGAAACAACCCAGACCGCCAGCUAAGGUCCCAAAGUCAUGGUUAAGUGGGAAACGAUGUGGGAAGGCCCAGACAGCCAGGAUGUUGGCUUAGAAGCAGCCAUCAUUUAAAGAAAGCGUAAUAGCUCACUGGUCGAGUCGGCCUGCGCGGAAGAUGUAACGGGGCUAAACCAUGCACCGAAGCUGCGGCAGCGACGCUUAUGCGUUGUUGGGUAGGGGAGCGUUCUGUAAGCCUGUGAAGGUGUGCUGUGAGGCAUGCUGGAGGUAUCAGAAGUGCGAAUGCUGACAUAAGUAACGAUAAAGCGGGUGAAAAGCCCGCUCGCCGGAAGACCAAGGGUUCCUGUCCAACGUUAAUCGGGGCAGGGUGAGUCGACCCCUAAGGCGAGGCCGAAAGGCGUAGUCGAUGGGAAACAGGUUAAUAUUCCUGUACUUGGUGUUACUGCGAAGGGGGGACGGAGAAGGCUAUGUUGGCCGGGCGACGGUUGUCCCGGUUUAAGCGUGUAGGCUGAUUUUCCAGGCAAAUCCGGAAAAUCAAGGCUGAGGCGUGAUGACGAGGCACUACGGUGCUGAAGCAACAAAUGCCCUGCUUCCAGGAAAAGCCUCUAAGCAUCAGGUAACAUCAAAUCGUACCCCAAACCGACACAGGUGGUCAGGUAGAGAAUACCAAGGCGCUUGAGAGAACUCGGGUGAAGGAACUAGGCAAAAUGGUGCCGUAACUUCGGGAGAAGGCACGCUGAUAUGUAGGUGAAGUCCCUCGCGGAUGGAGCUGAAAUCAGUCGAAGAUACCAGCUGGCUGCAACUGUUUAUUAAAAACACAGCACUGUGCAAACACGAAAGUGGACGUAUACGGUGUGACGCCUGCCCGGUGCCGGAAGGUUAAUUGAUGGGGUCAGCGCAAGCGAAGCUCUUGAUCGAAGCCCCGGUAAACGGCGGCCGUAACUAUAACGGUCCUAAGGUAGCGAAAUUCCUUGUCGGGUAAGUUCCGACCUGCACGAAUGGCGUAAUGAUGGCCAGGCUGUCUCCACCCGAGACUCAGUGAAAUUGAACUCGCUGUGAAGAUGCAGUGUACCCGCGGCAAGACGGAAAGACCCCGUGAACCUUUACUAUAGCUUGACACUGAACAUUGAGCCUUGAUGUGUAGGAUAGGUGGGAGGCUUAGAAGUGUGGACGCCAGUCUGCAUGGAGCCGGCCUUGAAAUACCACCCUUUAAUGUUUGAUGUUCUAACGUGGACCCGUAAUCCGGGUUGCGGACAGUGUCUGGUGGGUAGUUUGACUGGGGCGGUCUCCUCCUAAAGAGUAACGGAGGAGCACGAAGGUUGGCUAAUCCUGGUCGGACAUCAGGAGGUUAGUGCAAUGGCAUAAGCCAGCUUGACUGCGAGCGUGACGGCGCGAGCAGGUGCGAAAGCAGGUCAUAGUGAUCCGGUGGUUCUGAAUGGAAGGGCCAUCGCUCAACGGAUAAAAGGUACUCCGGGGAUAACAGGCUGAUACCGCCCAAGAGUUCAUAUCGACGGCGGUGUUUGGCACCUCGAUGUCGGCUCAUCACAUCCUGGGGCUGAAGUAGGUCCCAAGGGUAUGGCUGUUCGCCAUUUAAAGUGGUACGCGAGCUGGGUUUAGAACGUCGUGAGACAGUUCGGUCCCUAUCUGCCGUGGGCGCUGGAGAACUGAGGGGGGCUGCUCCUAGUACGAGAGGACCGGAGUGGACGCAUCACUGGUGUUCGGGUUGUCAUGCCAAUGGCACUGCCCGGUAGCUAAAUGCGGAAGAGAUAAGUGCUGAAAGCAUCUAAGCACGAAACUUGCCCCGAGAUGAGUUCUCCCUGACUCCUUGAGAGUCCUGAAGGAACGUUGAAGACGAUGACGUUGAUAGGCCGGGUGUGUAAGCGCAGCGAUGCGUUGAGCUAACCGGUACUAAUGAACCGUGAGGCUUAACCUU
rnacentral:rRNA from 1 species